rnacentral:rRNA from 1 species
AUUCUUUUAGAAAAUAUAAAAACGUAACAAGGUUUCCGUAGGUGAACCUGCGGAAGGAUCAUUG